rnacentral:rRNA from 1 species
GAACGGGUGAGUAACACGUGGGUGAUCUGCCCUGCACUUUGGGAUAAGCCUGGGAAACUGGGUCUAAUACCGAAUAGGACCACGCGCUUCAUGGUGUGUGGUGGAAAGCUUUUGCGGUGUGGGAUGGGCCCGCGGCCUAUCAGCUUGUUGGUGGGGUAAUGGCCUACCAAGGCGACGACGGGUAGCCGGCCUGAGAGGGUGACCGGCCACACUGGGACUGAGAUACGGCCCAGACUCCUACGGGAGGCAGCAGUGGGGAAUAUUGCACAAUGGGCGCAAGCCUGAUGCAGCGACGCCGCGUGAGGGAUGACGGCCUUCGGGUUGUAAACCUCUUUCAAUAGGGACGAAGCGCAAGUGACGGUACCUAUAGAAGAAGCACCGGCCAACUACGUGCCAGCAGCCGCGGUAAUACGUAGGGUGCGAGCGUUGUCCGGAAUUACUGGGCGUAAAGAGCUCGUAGGUGGUUUGUCGCGUUGUUCGUGAAAACUCACAGCUUAACUGUGGGCGUGCGGGCGAUACGGGCAGACUAGAGUACUGCAGGGGAGACUGGAAUUCCUGGUGUAGCGGUGGAAUGCGCAGAUAUCAGGAGGAACACCGGUGGCGAAGGCGGGUCUCUGGGCAGUAACUGACGCUGAGGAGCGAAAGCGUGGGGAGCGAACAGGAUUAGAUACCCUGGUAGUCCACGCCGUAAACGGUGGGUACUAGGUGUGGGUUCCUUCCUUGGGAUCCGUGCCGUAGCUAACGCAUUAAGUACCCCGCCUGGGAAGUACGGCCGCAAGGCUAAAACUCAAAGGAAUUGACGGGGGCCCGCACAAGCGGCGGAGCAUGUGGAUUAAUUCGAUGCAACGCGAAGAACCUUACCUGGGUUUGA